UGGGGAAUAUUGGACAAUGGGCGCAAGCCUGAUCCAGCCAUGCCGCGUGAGUGAUGAAGGCCUUAGGGUUGUAAAGCUCUUUCGCCGGUGAAGAUAAUGACGGUAACCGGAGAAGAAGCCCCGGCUAACUUCGUGCCAGCAGCCGCGGUAAUACGAAGGGGGCUAGCGUUGCUCGGAAUCACUGGGCGUAAAGCGCACGUAGGCGGAUCGUUAAGUCAGGGGUGAAAUCCUGGAGCUCAACUCCAGAACUGCCUCUGAUACUGGCGAUCUCGAGUUCGAGAGAGGUUGGUGGAACUCCGAGUGUAGAGGUGAAAUUCGUAGAUAUUCGGAAGAACACCAGUGGCGAAGGCGGCCAACUGGCUCGAUACUGACGCUGAGGUGCGAAAGCGUGGGGAGCAAAACAGGAUUAGAUACCCCUGGUAGUCCACGCCGUAAACGAUGGAUGCUAGCCGUUGGGGGGUUUACCUCUCAGUGGCGCAGCUAACGCCUUAAGCAUCCCGCCUGGGGAGUACGGUCGCAAGAUU
rnacentral:rRNA from 1 species